rnacentral:tRNA from 2 species
AUUUUGUUAUUAUAAAAAGUAUAUUUAAUUGCAAAUUAAAAGGUUAACAAAAUU